rnacentral:rRNA from 1 species
UACGGGGGGAGCAAGCGUUGUUCGGAUUUACUGGGCGUAAAGGGCGCGUAGGCGGCCAGCACAAGUCAGUUGUGAAAUCUCUGAGCUUAACUCAGAACGGCCAAGUGAUACUGCAGUGCUAGAGUGUGGAAGGGGCAAUCGGAAUUCUUGGUGUAGCGGUGAAAUGCGUAGAUAUCAAGAGGAACACCUGAGGUGAAGACGGGUUGCUGGGCCAACACUGACGCUGAGGCGCGAAAGCCAGGGGAGCAAACGGG